AGCAGCCGCGGUAAUUCCAGCUCCAAUAGCGUAUAUUAAAGUUGUUGCAGUUAAAAAGUUCGUAGUUGAAUUUCGGGAUCGACGGGUCGGUCGCGCCUCUGGUGUGUACUGGCCCUGUCGGUUUCUCCCUUCUGACGAACCAUGAUGUCAUUAAUUUGGUGUCGUGGGAAAUCAGGACUGUUACUUUGAAAAAAUUAGAGUGUUUAAAGCAGGCAUUCGCUUGAAUACAUUAGCAUGGAAUAAUGAAAUAGGACGUUUGAUCUUAUUUUGUUGGUUUCUAAGAUCGACGUAAUGAUUAAUAGGGAUAGUUGGGGGCAUUAGUAUUCAAUUGUCAGAGGUGAAAUUCUUGGAUUUAUUGAAGACUAACUACUGCGAAAGCAUUUGCCAAGGAUGUUUUCAUUAAUCAAGAACGAAAGUUAGGGGAUCGAAGACGAUCAGAUACCGUCGUAG
rnacentral:rRNA from 1 species